CCCAGGCAACUGCUAAUCUACUUUCUGUCAAGACAGUUUCACUUUUUCUACAAUCUCAUACAAAGGAAAUCAUGUGGCACAAAGACUUUUUUGCUUUGUUUUUAGAAGAGGAAUUACCUGUCCAACCUUAGCUCCCUGUUGCCCUCAGUGGUCACUGGAGUUCUGGCAACUCCACGUGGCUGUGUGGCUGCAAAAGUCCUCCAAUCACACUGCAUGCUGACCAUCUUGCAAGAUCUCAAUUUCUGACUUAGAUAAUUUUCCUUCUUCCUGAAGGCUUUCCUCUAACCUUGCAGGGGGUCCUCCUCGCCGAGACAGCCUGGAGAGGAUGGCAACGAGGAAGAUAAGGAAAAUCAACGAGAGGAGACCCAAGGUCAGCGGCCGCCUCAACGUCGGUACCGCCGCAACUUCAAUUGCCAACGCAGACGCCCAGAACACCCUAAACCGCCAGGAGGCAGAGACCGAAGAAGCAGCCGAUCCCCCAGCUGAGGAGGCCCAGCAGGGCGGGAUCCAGUAAAUGCGGCUUACCACCUCUACCAUCGUCCGGUUUAGUCAUCCAACACGAAGAAAUGAAGAUGAAAUGCCAGCAAUAAGAAAUGAACAAAAGAUUGGAGCUGAAGACCUUCAGAGCUUGCUUUUUGCCCAUUGACCAGAUAAGUAGAACUAUCUGCAUUAUCUAUGCAGCAUGGGGUUUUUAUUAUUUUUACCUAUAGACGUCUCUUUUUGGUAAUGAUAAACGUGUUUUUU